UCUUAAGCAGUAUAGUGGUUAGUAUUCAUGCCUGUCAUGAGCCUCAAAUCAAGAUCAUGCUAGACCGGAGUUCAAUUCCCCGCUUGAGGA